GAUGAACGCUGGCGGCGUGCCUAAUACAUGCAAGUAGAACGCUGAAGGAAGGAGCUUGCUCUUUCCGGAUGAGUUGCGAACGGGUGAGUAACGCGUAGGUAACCUGCCUGGUAGCGGGGGAUAACUAUUGGAAACGAUAGCUAAUACCGCAUAACAGUAGAUGUUGCAUGAUAUCUACUUAAAAGGUGCAAUUGCACCACUACCAGAUGGACCUGCGUUGUAUUAGCUAGUUGGUGAGGUAACGGCUCACCAAGGCGACGAUACAUAGCCGACCUGAGGGGGUGGUCGGCCAGCCUGGGACUGGGACACGGCCCAGACUGCCUCAGGAGGGAGCAGGAGGGAAUCUUCGGCAAGGGGCGGAAGUCUGACCGAGCAACGCCGCGUGAGGGGAGAAGGUUUUCGGAUCGUAAAGCUCUGUUGUAAGGGAAGAAAGAGUGUGAGAGUGGAAAGUUCACACUGUGACGGUAUCUUACCAGAAAGGGACGGCUAACUACGUG
rnacentral:rRNA from 1 species